GAUCCUGCCGGCGGGCACCGCUAUUGGAGUUCGCUUAAGCCAUGCGAGUCGAGAGGGGUAAGCCCUCGGUGCACUGCUCAGUAACACGCGGAUAAUCUGCCAUCGAGUGGGGGAUAACCCCGGGAAACUGGGAAUAAUACCCCAUAGCCGUUCCAUGAUGGAAGGCUGGGACGGCGAAAGCUGAGGCGCUCGAGGAUGGAUCUGUGGCCUAUCAGGUCGUAGGGGGUGUCACGGACCCCCUAGCCGAAGACGGGUACGGGCUUUGAGAGAAGUCGCCCGGAGAUGGGUUCUGAGACAUGAACCCAGGUCCUACGGGACGCAGCAGGCGCGAAACCUCCACAAUGUGGGAAACCACGAUGGGGGAACUCCAAGUGGAUGCACUUUGUGUAUUCUGUUCUCGAGCCUAAAAAGCUCGAGAAGUAAGGGCCGGGUAAGGACGGG
rnacentral:rRNA from 1 species